GAUUAUGGCUCAGGAUGAACGCUGGCGGCGUGCCUAACACAUGCAAGUCGAACGGAGUUAUUACCGGCAGAGAUUCGGUCAAAGCAGGUUUAACUAGUGGCGGACGGGUGAGUAACGCGUGGGGAACCUGCCCUGUACCGGGGGGAUAACAGUGAGAAAUCACUGCUAAUACCGCAUAAGCGCACAGCAUCGCAUGAUGCAGUGUGAAAAACUCCGGUGGUACAGGAUGGACCCGCGUUGGAUUAGCCAGUUGGCGGGUAACGGCCCACCAAAGCGACGAUCCAUAGCCGGCCUGAGAGGGUGAACGGCCACAUUGGGACUGAGACACGGCCCAGACUCCUACGGGAGGCAGCAGUGGGGAAUAUUGCACAAUGGGGGAAACCCUGAUGCAAGCGACGCCGCGUGAAGGAAGAAGUAUCCCGGUAUGUAAACUUCUAUCAGCAGGGAAGAUGAUGACGGUACCUGACUAAGAAGCCCCGGCUAACUACGUGCCAGCAGCAGC
rnacentral:rRNA from 1 species